UGGCGGACGGGUGAGUAACGCGUGGGCAACCUGCCUUACACAGGGGGACAACAGUUAGAAAUAGCUGCUAAUACCGCAUAAGCGCACAGUACCGCAUGGUACAGUGUGAAAAACUCCGGUGGUGUAAGAUGGGCCCGCGUUGGAUUAGCUAGUUGGAGGGGUAACGGCCCACCAAGGCGACGAUCCAUAGCCGACCUGAGAGGGUGACCGGCCACAUUGGGACUGAGACACGGCCCAG
rnacentral:rRNA from 1 species